rnacentral:rRNA from 1 species
AUUGAACGCUGGCGGCAUGCUUUACACAUGCAAGUCGAACGGUAACAGGCCGCAAGGUGCUGACGAGUGGCGAACGGGUGAGUAAUGCAUCGGAACGUGCCCAGUCGUGGGGGAUAACUACUCGAAAGAGUAGCUAAUACCGCAUACGAUCUAUGGAUGAAAGCGGGGGACCGUAAGGCGUCGCGCGAUUGGAGCGGCCGAUGUCAGAUUAGGUAGUUGGUGGGGUAAAGGCUCACCAAGCCAACGAUCUGUAGCUGGUCUGAGAGGACGACCAGCCACACUGGGAGUGAGACACGGCCCAGACUCCUACGGGAGGCCGCAGUGGGGAAUUUUGGACGAUGGGCGCAAGCCUGAUCCAGCAAUGCCGCGUGCAGGAAGAAGGCCUUCGGGUUGUAAACUGCUUUUGUACGGAACGAAACGGCUCUGGUUAAUACCCGGGGCUAAUGACGGUACCGUAAGAAUAAGCACCGGCUAACUACGUG